UACGGGGGGGGCAAGCGUUGUUCGGAAUUACUGGGCGUAAAGGGUUUGUAGGGGGUCUGUUAAGUCAGACGUGAAAUCCCUCAGCUUAACUGGGGAACUGCGUCUGAGACUGAUGGACUUGAGGGCAGGAGAGGAACGCGGAAUUCCAGGUGUAGCGGUGAAAUGCGUAGAUAUCUGGAGGAACACCGGUGGCGAAGGCGGCGUUCUGGACUGUUUCUGACACUGUAAAACGAAAGCCAGGGGAGCAAACGGG
rnacentral:rRNA from 1 species